UAGCAAAUUUGCAUAAUGUGAGGGACAGCGGGAGAAUGAACACAUGUAUGAACCUCAUGGGAGUGGUCACCCAGAAGCCCCCCAAAACGCCAAUCUCAAAACUAUUUAUGGCAUCCUGAACACCCAUCCCAAUCCUAAUGAAAGGAGUGAGUUAGUCAUCAGAAUUAUCUGCAGCAAUCAAAAAGGGGAAAGAAAUGGGAAAGAUGAGUUUAGUGGUGGUGGUGAUGGUGUUGUGGGUGAUGGUGGCUGGGCCAGCUGUAAUGGUAAUGGGAGAAUUGGAUCUACAGAGCGUGCUGGAUAAAGCAAAAGAGGCAGGCGUCUCUCAAGAAACUAUACAACAGGCCGCUAAUAGUGAUGAAGCCAAAGAAGCUCUUCAGGAUGGAACUGCCCAACAAGCUCUCAACGAUGCCAAGGACGCCAUGAGCGAUAGUAGUCAUGGCGGCUCCCCCUGGAGCGACUGGGUCAAAAGGUAUUCGUGUAUAUACAUGUAGAUCAACAUUGGCCUCGGCAAAGGGAGUCCCGCACCGUCUCCGGAAGAUUCAGGAUCAUCAUCAUCGCUGGUCGGAGACAUCGAGCUUUCUCCUUCACCGUCAGAAGAACCGGUAGGGUCACCUGGAAAGGCGCCGGCAAGUGCACCGCCGGAGGGAUCAUCUCCAUCACCAUCACUUUCUUCGUUGUCAUCGAUGCUGUCGCCAUCGCCAUCGCCAUCACCCACCCUGUCCCCAUCACCUUCGUUACGGUUAAAAUUGUCGCCAACACCAGCCCUGUCACCAUCGCAGUCUCCGUCGCCGUCCGCGGAAGCACUGGGAGAGGCCCAAGAUGCCGAGGAAGGACCGACUAGUGCACCAUCGCUAGCUCCCGAAGCGGAGUAAGUCAACCCCCCAGGAAGAUCAGAGAGGCAAACAGCUUAGGAAACAAGAUAAAUUAAAUGAAAUGAAAUAGGAUAUUUCUCAAUUAAUUAAUUCGAAGUUCUAACCUGACUACUUGCACAGUUAACAGGUUCCAAUGUAGGCAUAGACUCCUCCAUUCUUCACUCUCUUCCUCACAAGUGAAAUGGCAGGGUUUAGAAAGACGGUGG